GGUAAGUAAACAUUUUAAAAAAUGAUUUAGCUGGCUAAAUCUCUCCGGUUCUUCCAAGUAUUAGGAUCUGUUGGAGUUCUGACGGAACUCUCAUUUAAUAUAUAUAAUUUUAAAGAGACUUCGUAUUUUUCCCUUAUAAAGCAUUUUCUCCCCUUGAUACAGUGUUUCUCUGUGGUGACUUAAGCAGUUUUUGAUAUCUCUCCAUAAUAUUUUAGGACUCUUCCUGUGUAAACAUUAUCCAUAAUUUGUCAGAUUCAUUCUUGGGUAUAAUUUUUUAGGCCGUAUUUUCUGUAUGUUUCUGAAUUAAAAUUACGCACAGUAAGUAGCAAGCGUGCUAAACUCAGGUAUUGACUUUAAACGUUCCUCGAUCCUCUCUUUUCUCUAUGGAUAAUAUCAUAUUAUCUGCAACUAAUGAGUCCUUAUUUAUUCCUUUUCAAUUCUUAUAUAUUCCCUUCCAGUUUGAAAUCGUCCUAACAGACCAUGAUUGCUCCUCCCACAAGGAAUGAGGGACCUUAAUUUUAUUUGCACGGCUUUCUAUAGGUCUUAUUUCAACCCCAAGUUCACGCACAAGUUAUUGAAAUCUCUUUCGAGGGUGUCUCUCCACAUCCCAGUUUCUCUCAGCUUUGCACCUCCGGGAAGAAUUCCUCCCCAGACCUUCCUGAACCCCCGCAAUCCCACCCCCCUCUUGCCUCACAUUUGCAUCUGGAACUUUCUGUAUCCCCAGUCUCCCUGUUUCUCAACUUGCAUUUUCAUUUUUACCUAGAUCCUGGGGAAGGCAGGAGUAAAGGUAAAUUUCACAGGGCAAAGCACUUUUGAAAACGUCUCCUACGCUCAUACUUGACGGAUACUUGGGUUUCACGUGGCAUCUACGGUGGCUUUGGUCUUCUUGAAGACUGGAAGCCGUUGCCUCGCUGUCUUCUAGCUUCUGGCCUCCAUCUUGAAAAAAGCCUCUUUCCCCGUGUCGACAGGCCUGUUUCGGCAUUCAGUGCGGUCUCCCACCUCUCUGGGCAUAUCCGUUUGUUCUCCGCAUGGUUCUAUCGUAGCUUUGAUCCUCACGGCUCUUUCCCCCCGUCUUUUAUUCCCUUUCUGUAACAUAGUCUUCAAAUAUGUAACAACGCUGGCUUCUCCGUGCCUCGUCAAGAGCAGAGCACUCGCAAGGGGACUGGCAGCUCCGGGUGUCUGUGGUGGAGGAGGACUGGAGCCGGCCCGGGAGGCCCCGGGAGGUCGGUGUCCCUUGUUUGCAGCGCAGAACCGCCCCCCCCCCCCCCCCCACCGCGUCCGACGCUCGCGGCCGGGAGGCGGGUCGCCCCGGCCCGGAGGCCCAGGCUGCGCACUGCUGACCUGAAUCCCUCGCUCAGGUUUGCGGUUUUAGGAAUCCCUGCACAUCGGGCGCUCGGUGUCUUGGGGAGAAAACUCGGGCUUCACGGACGCCGGUUCCUUUCUGCCUCUGACGGCGGCUGGACGUGGCAGGAAACGAGACUCUUUUUCUGGGACCCCCUGACGCUGCUGCACCCGUCUCCAGCUGAGCGAUGUAUGAAGGUGAAUCUCCCAAGCGGUCCGCGGUUCUGGUUUUCCAUCGGCGCUGUCAAAGCCUAAAGUUUAAAAAAAAAAAAAAAAAAAAAAAAAGCCGCUAAAAUUGAAGUUGAAGGGCAAGCCAGCUCGGUUUGCGUCCGACCGGGCGCGGAAAAGAAGCGCCGCUGGAGCUGGUUCCACUGGGGAUCGAACCCAGGACCUUCUGCGUGUAAAGCAGACGUGAUAACCACUACACUAUGGAACCGCAAGCCGGCAAAGGCCUGCAGGUCUCUCCAUACAAAAGUUUCCGAGCAAACACGUCGAAGGAAAACCGUUUCUAGUCUCCCCACCGCCCCGG